UCCUGACUGACCGAUAGUGAACCAGUACCGUGAGGGAAAGGCGAAAAGAACCCCGGCGAGGGGAGUGAAAAAGAACCUGAAACCGUGUACGUACAAGCAGUGGGAGCACGCUUAGGCGUGUGACUGCGUACCUUUUGUAUAAUGGGUCAGCGACUUAUAUUCUGUAGCAAGGUUAACCGAAUAGGGGAGCCGAAGGGAAACCGAGUCUUAACUGGGCGUUAAGUUGCAGGGUAUAGACCCGAAACCCGGUGAUCUAGCCAUGGGCAGGUUGAAGGUUGGGUAACACUAACUGGAGGACCGAACCGACUAAUGUUGAAAAAUUAGCGGAUGACUUGUGGCUGGGGGUGAAAGGCCAAUCAAACCGGGAGAUAGCUGGUUCUCCCCGAAAGCUAUUUAGGUAGCGCCUCGUGAAUUCAUCUCCGGGGGUAGAGCACUGUUUCGGCAAGGGGGUCAUCCCGACUUACCAACCCGAUGCAAACUGCGAAUACCGGAGAAUGUUAUCACGGGAGACACACGGCGGGUGCUAACGUCCGUCGUGAAGAGGGAAACAACCCAGACCGCCAGCUAAGGUCCCAAAGUCAUGGUUAAGUGGGAAACGAUGUGGGAAGGCCCAGACAGCCAGGAUGUUGGCUUAGAAGCAGCCAUCAUUUAAAGAAAGCGUAAUAGCUCACUGGUCGAGUCGGCCUGCGCGGAAGAUGUAACGGGGCUAAACCAUGCACCGAAGCUGCGGCAGCGACGCUUAUGCGUUGUUGGGUAGGGGAGCGUUCUGUAAGCCUGCGAAGGUGUGCUGUGAGGCAUGCUGGAGGUAUCAGAAGUGCGAAUGCUGACAUAAGUAACGAUAAAGCGGGUGAAAAGCCCGCUCGCCGGAAGACCAAGGGUUCCUGUCCAACGUUAAUCGGGGCAGGGUGAGUCGACCCCUAAGGCGAGGCCGAAAGGCGUAGUCGAUGGGAAACAGGUUAAUAUUCCUGUACUUGGUGUUACUGCGAAGGGGGGACGGAGAAGGCUAUGUUGGCCGGGCGACGGUUGUCCCGGUUUAAGCGUGUAGGCUGGUUUUCCAGGCAAAUCCGGAAAAUCAAGGCUGAGGCGUGAUGACGAGGCACUACGGUGCUGAAGCAACAAAUGCCCUGCUUCCAGGAAAAGCCUCUAAGCAUCAGGUAACAUCAAAUCGUACCCCAAACCGACACAGGUGGUCAGGUAGAGAAUACCAAGGCGCUUGAGAGAACUCGGGUGAAGGAACUAGGCAAAAUGGUGCCGUAACUUCGGGAGAAGGCACGCUGAUAUGUAGGUGAAGUCCCUUGCGGAUGGAGCUGAAAUCAGUCGAAGAUACCAGCUGGCUGCAACUGUUUAUUAAAAACACAGCACUGUGCAAACACGAAAGUGGACGUAUACGGUGUGACGCCUGCCCGGUGCCGGAAGGUUAAUUGAUGGGGUCAGCGCAAGCGAAGCUCUUGAUCGAAGCCCCGGUAAACGGCGGCCGUAACUAUAACGGUCCUAAGGUAGCGAAAUUCCUUGUCGGGUAAGUUCCGACCUGCACGAAUGGCGUAAUGAUGGCCAGGCUGUCUCCACCCGAGACUCAGUGAAAUUGAACUCGCUGUGAAGAUGCAGUGUACCCGCGGCAAGACGGAAAGACCCCGUGAACCUUUACUAUAGCUUGACACUGAACAUUGAGCCUUGAUGUGUAGGAUAGGUGGGAGGCUUUGAAGUGUGGACGCCAGUCUGCAUGGAGCCGGCCUUGAAAUACCACCCUUUAAUGUUUGAUGUUCUAACGUGGACCCGUGAUCCGGGUUGCGGACAGUGUCUGGUGGGUAGUUUGACUGGGGCGGUCUCCUCCUAAAGAGUAACGGAGGAGCACGAAGGUUGGCUAAUCCUGGUCGGACAUCAGGAGGUUAGUGCAAUGGCAUAAGCCAGCUUGACUGCGAGCGUGACGGCGCGAGCAGGUGCGAAAGCAGGUCAUAGUGAUCCGGUGGUUCUGAAUGGAAGGGCCAUCGCUCAACGGAUAAAAGGUACUCCGGGGAUAACAGGCUGAUACCGCCCAAGAGUUCAUAUCGACGGCGGUGUUUGGCACCUCGAUGUCGGCUCAUCACAUCCUGGGGCUGAAGUAGGUCCCAAGGGUAUGGCUGUUCGCCAUUUAAAGUGGUACGCGAGCUGGGUUUAGAACGUCGUGAGACAGUUCGGUCCCUAUCUGCCGUGGGCGCUGGAGAACUGAGGGGGGCUGCUCCUAGUACGAGAGGACCGGAGUGGACGCAUCACUGGUGUUCGGGUUGUCAUGCCAAUGGCACUGCCCGGUAGCUAAAUGCGGAAG
rnacentral:rRNA from 1 species